CCCUUAGAUGUCCGGGGCCGCACGCGCGCUACACUGAAGGAAUCAGCGUGGCUUUCUCCCUGACCCGAAAGGGUUGGGAAACCCGUUGAAUCUCCUUCGUGAUAGGGAGUGGGGCUUGAAAUUGUUCCCCAUGAACGAGGAAUUCCCAGUAAGCGCGAGUCAUAAGCUCGCGUUGAUUACGUCCCUGCCCUUUGUACACACCGCCCGUCGCUACUACCGAUUGAACGGUUUAGUGAGGGCCUCGGAUUGGUCUCGGCCCGCUCUUUACCGGGCGGCGCCGUUGGUCGAGAAGACGCUCGAACUUGAUCGUUUAGAGGAAGUAAAAGUCGUAACA
rnacentral:rRNA from 1 species